AGUUGUAAUUACAUGAAGUAGUGGACUUUUGUGUUUUUACAAAGUGACCCCAAAAGUUUAUGUUUUUGCAAUAUGGCCCAAAAGUUGUGGUAAUUGCAUUUUGGCCCAAAUUAGGUUGAGAACAAAAUUGUUUUGUCACUUUAAAUGAGAAUUGGAUUUUCAUUUUAUUUAGCUCCAUUUAAAUCAAUUUUAUGGAUACAAAAACCAAAUGAAAAUGUUGCAUUCAAUUUAAUUAGUUAAAGUGUUAAUUAAUUAAAGGGUGAUUAUGAACCUAAGCCUAUGAUAAUUGAGCUAUGUGAUAGGCCGUUUCAAAUUUGUUUGAACCAUGGGAAUGUGUAGAUUAGAUUUUGGUUGUAAUUUGAUUUGAUCAAAUGUUGUAAAAGAGCAUAAGCUCUUCUUUACUUUAAAGUAAUUUGAAUUAUUCAAAUGUUGUAAUGAGCAUAAGCUCACCUUUACUUUGAAGUACUUCUUUCUUGCUUUAUUUGAUAUGCAUGAAAAUGAAGUAGUUGGGUCAACGCCCCUAAGACAACACGCCUUAAUGUGAUUAAACGCGUAACUAAAAUCAAUCACCAUCCCUUAGACCGAGAUUCAACACAAGGCUCGUGUUGAAUCUAAUCAAAGGUUCAUAGUCAUCCUAAGGCCCUAAGGCAACUAUAUAGUCCAUCAAAUGAAUGCAAAAGGUUAUGUUAGUAGUAUCAUAUACUCUUGCUUUAAAAACCGUUUUAGAAGCAUAGUGGGAGUAUUAUAUACAACUAAAACAAUCAAAUGGACCAAUAGUUGUAAUAGGACCAAAAUGUUUAAUAAAGAUUAAAAUGAAUAUUUAUAUGUGAUGAGACCUAAAACCC
rnacentral:lncRNA from 1 species